UUUUAAAAAAACCAAAGCCAAAAAAAAAAAAAAAAACAAAGGUGGAAAAAGACGUCAAAAACACAAUUAACCCUAAAAUCAAUAAUUUAAAGCCCAAAACUUAACCCCAAAAAUUAAAUGUUAAAAGACAAAAUAAACCGCAAUCAAAUUAUUCAUGACAUCAAUUAACCCCAAAUUAUUUUUUAUGCCUUGUAUUACUUGGCAUAUAUAGUUAUUAUGCAUCAAUUUAAUAAGAAUGGAUCGAAGAUAACUUUUAUAUAUUGGUAUUUGAUUAACAAUAUUGGUUUUAAAUGUAAAUUAAUGGAGAAAAUCAAAUUCAAAUAUUUAAUUAUUGAUUUUUAAAAUUUAAAUAUUUAAUAAAAAAUUUAAUUAUAAUCUAUAUAUUAAAUACAUAAUCUUUUUUAAAAAAUCAAAAAGAGAAAAGCAAAGAGAGAAAGAGAUGUUAACAGUUACAAUUAACCCUAAAAUUAGUAGUUAAAAGCCUAAAACAACUUCAAAAUCAAUCAAUCUCAAUUAACCCAAAAAAUUACAUAUUAAAAGGCAAAACCAACCUCCAAACAAAUUAUUCAUGAAAUCAAUUAACCUCCAAAUAAUUUUUUUUAUGCCUCAUAUUACUUGGCAUCGGUACUAAUGCAUGAAUUUAGUAAGAAUGUGUUGGGGAUAAUUUUGUAGAUUGGUAUUGAUAUGCUGUAAAAGCGAUAGACAGGGAGCUUAAUGAAACCUUUCAUAACCAAACAUAUAAUGUAGCUUUAUGGAAUUCCCGCUUAUAUAGCAACCAAAAGAAGAGUAAAAAAACACAAUCAAGAAACAAAAGGCAAAGAUAUAUGAACGACAAAAGGAUUUAUAUACAAUGUCGAAUCUCUACUUAAAUGACUCGAUCAAUUACCAGCUUGAUUUUGUACAGAUUUAUCUUCAUAAAAGCCGCUCAUUGAAACGUGACCAAUACAAGGAAAACAAUUUCCUUCUCGACUUGAGACUCUUACUUACAAAACAAAAACAAUACAAGUUUAACGGCUAUCUACCCCAUGCCAUAUCUUCUCAUAUGGUUUUUAAACAUAACACUACACCUAAACAACGACUCUGUCCUUAUUUUUGUUGAACAAACUGAUCUACUCAGAAGACACCAUCAUUUCAUUACAUGCAAAGAACCUUUCAAACAUAUUCACACUAAGAAAGGAUUCUCUUAAUUUUUUCUUCAGUCAUUGACGACUUCAAAAUUCUUCUGUUUUAAACUGAAUUUUUAAAGCUCUUUUACUGUUAUCUAUGUACUCUUUGUGGACUGAAAUGGGUUCUAGGCCAGCGCAGGGAUGCUGCAAUUUCGCCUAUCCCUGUCAAGGCAAUCAAACCCCUCGACUCUCACGGCUGGCUUGUUACCAAAAUUCGCCCGAACACAGCCUCCUUUCCUUGAAGAGGAUGAUGGAGACGACGAGGACAAACCCGAAGGAGGUGGGAUCGGAGACAGCUGUGACAGCAGGGUGAUGACCUUCUCAUCCCCAAAUCGAGCAUCCUGUAUUAAUGGGUUAGCUACUCUGCUCGGCGGCGACCCACAAAAAAAUGGGGGCGACGACGCUACUUGUGUACAAUUUUGUUCCACUCCACAACCACCCUGUUAAAUUCCAAAACCAAUAAUCAUAUAAUUUUUUUUAUAAGAAACGAUAUACUAAUACAAGAAAUUUGAAGAACCAAAACUCUAUCUAUUCUUUUAGAAACUCUUUAGCUGGUACACCCACAGCACUGUUUUUCUCGUACACGAGACCAAAUUUUAAAUUUUUAAAUGGUCCCCUGAAUGGCUGCUGCAUAAUACAUUUCUUGGAUCGAGACGUCGCCAUUGUUUACCAGAUCAAAGCUCAGAUUUUUUUUUUUUUCAUUUUAUAAACCAUAGAAUAUUUUAUUGGUUUCUUAAAAUAAGACCAUUAGAUAUUGCUAAUUCUAAAUAAGUUCUAAUUUCUUAAAAAAAAAAAAAUUAGGAGAAAGGAGCAUACCUUUGUAAGAAUCAAAUCCAAAAGAUCACUCGCUGCUUUUGAAUCACAAAGAUCCGCUUGAUGGCUGAAAAACAUCAAACAAAUUGUUACUAUUUCUUUGUUUUAAUUUAAAAAAAAAAAAGGAAAAAAAAAGGAGAGAGGAUAAAAGUUGAAGGGCAUAGAAAGAAGGGAAAAUUACCUAAGUUGCCAUCUGAGGGACCUAACAGGGUGGUCGUUGAACGGGGUGUUUAAGAGACCUAAACGACGUGGUUUUGGGCAGACCAUGGUCUCUCUCCGAUCCGUAAACAUAACCGAAACCGAUUUGGAGCUUCGCAUCUCCUCACGGCUGCUUCCAAUCGCGCUUUGUUGGAUCGCACACUGCUUCAUCUUUUUCCUUUCACCUUUUUUUUUUAAUAAUAUUAACAAUUAAUUUCCCUGUUUAACAUAAACAGAUGCUUAAUUAAACAUCGUCUUAAAUAGAAACCAAAAUUUAACUUUAGACUUCUUCUGUUUUCUUUUUAAGAUUAAAAUUCUACAGUUAUUGUAAAGUAGUUCUAGAUCGAUAGAUCUACUGAAACAAAAAUUAAAUAUUAAAAUAAAUAAAUCUCAUUGAAAUUUGCAGCCAAAAAAAUUAAAACUAGUGCGUAUUUAAUUUCUUCACAGAUCUAACCACGCUUAGAAAAGUGAAUUGAAAAAAAUUAAGCUUCAAUUUUCUAAAAUUAGGUUUCUAUGAAGAAAUUGUUCAGAUCGAGGAAGAAACAAAGGAAAUCAUGAAAAGGAGUUGUUUGAAGAGCUGAGAAAUUGGAGGAAACCAAAAGGGAGAAAAAAAGAAAACGAGGCGACGAGCUGAUGGAGAAGAGAAAGGAGAGACGAAUACCUUUGCUUUAACUGUACAGCUCAGUUGAGAAACUGUUGAAGUGGGUGGUCAAUAUAAACAGAGCACCAUAUAAAAAAAUGAAAAGAAGAAAAAAAGAAAAAAGGAAGCAAAUGACGUUGAGAAGUAGGGCGCCAGAACAAAGAAGGAUGGUGAAGAAGAGGUCCCAUAUGAUUUAUAGACGAGAGAUAGAAAGAGACAAACACUUGUAAAAAUAAAAAUAAAAAAGAAAAGUGGUAUCGGUAUUGGGCAAGGCACAGCUAAUAAUAGCAGGAAAGAAAAAAGGAAAAAAUAAAGGACCGAAAGAGACAACAACUUUUCUUAUCUCUAAACUCUUUGGUCUGGCUCUGCUCUCGCAUCGAUUUUUUUUUAAUUUUGGAACUUUGAUAUGAUAAUAGUUAAUUAUUUUUAUAAAAUAUCACCAAGGCGGUGCCUCCAGCGAGAAAUUAAAAAAAAAAAAAAAAUGGUUUUAGCACCCGAUUUUAGUGUCUAAUUUUACUAUUUUAGGUAUUAAAAAAUUAAAAUAUCUUUAGUAAUAUCAACGGACCAAUUAAUGCUAAUUUAUUUUUACAAAGCUUUUACCAAACUGACUUGCUUUGCGACGUGGGCUUUGUAGAUCGAAAAGUAGUUGAGUGUGAUUUUGACACGUGUCCCUUCAUCUUUAGUUAAAAAUUUUAGGUGUUAGGAGCGUGGUCGGCAUGAGCAUGAGUUUUCACUAUCUCAUUUUUUCUUUUUAAUAAUAAAUUUUUUUGGUCAAAUAUAUAUGGAUCAUGUAUGCAGUGUUGGUAUGAAUGAAAGUACGAGCACUGAACCAGGUGCAGAGAAUUAUGCCUAGACCACAAAGUUUGGGUUUGAUUAUUGCCACUUGGUUUUUUAUUUUUUUAAAAUCGUUUUAGAUCCAAUUAAUUUUUUCUAAAAACUAAUCGCUCAUUCUUAAGUAUAAAACUUAUAUUAUUAAUGUAACAGAAAUUAAAAUUUUGUUAAUUUUACAUUGUAUAAAUAAUUUUUUUAAAAAUUAAUGAGAUAUAUAUAUGUAUAUAUAUUACAUUUUAAAUUUCUUUUUUGUUUAUAAGAUACAACUUUUUGUAGAAAAAUAUUUGAACCUAACUCCUCGAAUCGGAAAUAAAUAUAAAUAUACUACUAGUAUUUGACAAAAAAUCCAAGUGCACACUUCAAAAUUCCCUAAGCAACAACAAUUGAACGAAAUAGACAAACUAAUUUGGUUUAUUCCAUCUCUUUACUGACUCAUGCAGUUUUUGUGAAGAAAAGUUCAAUACUUAUUUCGAAGUGUCUUAUCUUUUUAAAAGUGGUUUUUCUUUUUUUAAAGUAACAUUUAGAAUAUUUUUAAAAUUAUCAUGAUAAUUUUAUUAUUGAUAUGAUUUUAUUAUUAAAAUUAUUUUAUUACUUAUGAUUUAAAAUUAUUUUAUUUAGUUAAUAAUCCUUAAUUUUUAAAAAUUAAAAUUUUGUAUUUGAGAUCAUUAAAAUUAAAUAUUAUUUUAUUUAAAGCAUCAAAAUAAUUUGGUAUAUUAUAAUAGUUGUAUAGGUUAAUAAUUUUAAUAUUAUUUUAAAAUAAUAAUUUGUAAAUUAUUGUUAAUAUUUUAUUUACUUCAUAAUAAAAUAUGGUUAAAUUAUUAAAUUAACAAAUAUAUUUAUUGCUAAGUACAUUAAUUUUAAAAAUAUAAAUUAUGUAAAAAUUGAAUUUAAAAGGUUAAAUUAUGUUAGAAGUCUUAUAUUUAAUGAAAAUUUAAAACUUAGUUCAUAUAUUAUAAUUCAUACAAAUUUAAUUCAUGUACUUUCCUAAGUGUUUGUGUCGAGCUCUACAUGAGGGUAUUCUUGAAAGAACAGAAAGCUGAAAGACAGUAAUCAGAUGUAAAGGCAAAGAAUGUUUACUAUGUUUGUACUCCGACGCACAAGUAAAAAAUCAAAAUGAAAAAGUUUGGAAUGAGAGAAAAAUAAGGGAUUAAAACAAGAUGAAACCUGGGAUAAUAAUACUUGGAUGCCUAUAUUUAUAGAUGAGAGGUUGAGGGUCAAUGAUGGACAAUAAUGACGUGACCGAGCUGAUAUGGCAUUGAGUGUGUCAGGCCAACCUGACAUAUCAAGUCGAUGCAAAUGUCCAAAAUGCCCCUAGCUGUCUACUAGAGACCCUUAAUGAAGAAAAAGGCCAUUAUACCUUUUAAACCACUAAAUGCCCCAAACAUUCUAUCCCUUCACCAUGCAAUUUAAAUAUCAUAUUAUUGGUCAUGUUAUUAGUUCAUUUCUCAUAAGUCAGCCAGCCUAAAGGAAGUCACAAAAGGUUCGAUCUUCUAUGGCCAAGGUCGACAUGGAGUUCAACACCAAGAGACAAUUAGCUUUUUACUACGACUCAAGGUGAUGGAGUGAGGGCCAACCUGGUGUGAGUUCGAUCUCAAGCAUGUGCUUUGGGUUGAGUACAUGCUAAUUUGAAGUCAUUUUGUCUAGGAUGAUCCAAGAUUAGGAUGAAAGCUUGUCUGGUUGAUGUGGAACUUAGACAUUUUUUCAGAAGUUUGGAUUUGAGUCUUUAUUUUACAUUCUGAUGAUAAACCGACUGCCAAUUCACUGAACUAGUUCAGUCCCAGAAGCCAUUCGAUUUGACCAAUUUGAUCGAGUCUAGCGAUUGAGGUUUCAUUAAAUGACGAGAGAUAUAGUUUGGGUAGUAAAAUUUAGUGUGAAAAGGGUAAAAAGAUGUCUUCCAACGACAUUUUGACAUAUGGCAUAAUCUAGAUUGUUCAUCUGAUUUAAGGCAUGACUAUAUAAAAGGGCUAUUAGGGCUUUUAUUUUUCACUUUUUUGUUUUCUUGCUCUCUAUCUAAUAUAGAUUUUUCAACCUCAUAAGCUUUUAUUCUUUUUGAUUUUAUUGUUUUCUUCUUUUCAUUUGCUCUAUCUAUUUUUGUAGGUAUGUUCUCUCUUCAUCAUGUCUUCUAGUUUUAGUUCUAGAUAAGCUGGGAGUUUCAAGGUAGAGUCUAGAGGGGUCAGCUCUGGCAAAACAAUGACCUAGUCCUAUCAAUUAUCAGAGGUUAAGACUAUCAUAAGAGUGCUUAUUGGCUCAACACCAUGUCCAAAGAGAGGUAGUGGUAAAAUGAUGAGAAUGCUUAAACAAGAAAAAAGUAGGUCCUAAGCACGAAAGAGCUAUGUACUUAAAUAGAUUUUAAUUUGGAGAAUCCACCUCUUUUCUUUGUCUCUCAAGUUAGUCUAUAUUCUAUGGCCAACAUUUUUUCAUCUUCGACUGUUCUCUUUUUAGGGUCCAGUCUUAUCAAAUUUCUUUUUCUUCUGCUCUUUCACCUAUAAAUGCUUCCGUUGUUUCUUCUAUUCCUCUUCGGUCAACUCUUGUUGAUAUCACCUCUUCUCUUGAGGGGUCUCAUCUUCCUUUUUCUUCCCUUGAGGUUGUGGUGCUUUCAACCACUGCUCCAUCUUGGAAUCCUAUCUUACUUAGGAGUCUGAGUCUUUUAACGAUGAUAAGGGUUCUAAAGAAAAGCAAGAAGAGAAAUGUGCCAUCGCUGAAGAAGAUAAUGGUGAUGAGGAAGGGAGUUCUUCGAAACAAGAUAAGUUGGUUGAGAUCCUUGUAUAUACUUUUUACGACCUCGGUAUAACUUCCAAGGAUAUGAUGCAAGAAUUGAAAAGCAAGGCAAAUCUCAAGGACUGCCCUAAUAUGUGUUUAGCUCAUCAUGUCUGUACUUUGGUGAUGAACAUUCAUUUUCCCAAAAAGGAGUAUAGCAUACUAAUUCUGAAUUCUUCAAAUCAGGUCACCAAUAAACUAGAGCCAUAUUAGCUCUAGGUAUAUUAGGAUUUGUUCAUGGUUAGCUGAGGUUCUCACUACAUUCUUUAUUUAUUUCAAUUUUUAAUUCUUAAAUUUAACUAUCACUCAGCUUAUCUUUAUACAGUACAUAGUAAGUUUUAUAAUUCUUUGUCAACACUUAGUUAUUUUUCUUAAUCUCCCUUUAUUUAAGGAAUAUUUUUUAUUAAAAAGUACUUCAAUGAUAGGAGGUGGUACUAUGUCACAGCUUGGCCCAAUAAAAAGCUAUUCGUUGAUUGCCUAAGUUCUAUAAAAAACUAGAAGUUGCUAUUCUUUUGCCUUUAAAAUAAAAACAAAAUAAAAGUGAUGAGAUCAAGGCUGAGGCCAGGGUCGGGGCCUGAGAGAUAAUAAAAUAGCCCUACUAAUUUGUAAACAUGCCUACUUCUUUCUUUAUCCUAAACCUAUCAGAUUGAGACAAAAUAAUGAAGUACACCCAUAAGAGGAUCUCCUCAUAGAUGCCCACAAGCUAACCUCCUCUGAAGUAAUAAAUAAGAUCAAAUACUAGGAUAGGUAUGAGGUAACCUUGUAAGAUCUUUAUUUUGUUUAUUUUUUUGUAUCCAAAUCUUAGCUCAAUUUUAUAGAGAUAUCUUCCAAUAAAGACUUCAACUUCUCUCUUUUUUAACACAAGCCUAGGCUGAAGAAGGACUAGAGUGAAAAAGAUUAAGCUUGGAGCCUAUUUUCGAGGGGGAAUAAAGUUAUUAAUCUGACAGUAUGUAAGCCAUCGAGCUCCUUAGUUUAACACUCUCCCACUAGUAAAAAGCACAAGACCAUGGCUCAUGAAGAGCUCUCAUCGAUAACCUUCUUUCUUACAAAAAAGUUAAGAAUCGAGGUUUCCUCUUCUACCCUAGAGAAUAUAAAAUCUGGGGUAUUAAAGCCUAGCUCAAAAAAAGUUUGUACAAAGCUAGAGUACACUUCAAAUGAUAACCCCUAUGAGAACUUUGACAUGGCUAGGAGGUUCUGCAAAAUCGUAGUUCCUUCCAGUAAUAAAUGUUGUUUAACUUCAACUCAGCCCAUCAUCAUUUUAUUUUUUAUUUUGCUAAAUUUGAGUUCAUCCUAUGCAAUUUUUCAAAAACUCCCUCAUGCACCUGUGACAACACCACUCAAGCCUUUCAUCAUAUAUAUCUAGCUAUGACCCCCUUGUUCAAGACCAAAAAAGAUAUGACCAUCUUAAGUAAGAACAUAAAAAAAGCUUAGAUGUCUUAGGUAGUGUGAAAUCCAAUAUCAGUGUAUCUCAUUAAAGAAGAUGAGCAAAGGAAAAAGAUUGAUGAGCUAAUGACUAGGCUAGAGAGCAUCUACAUCGAGAAAGCCUUAAAAAAGUUUAUAAAAGAAUAGGCUGAGCUAAAACUUGGUGAUGCUUAGAUUGAGAUAGCCAGGCUGAGGUUUGAAUUCAAGACCAAAGGGAAAGAGAAAGAGAAAGAAGAGCUGAACAAGAAAGCCGUUAAGGAGUUUAAGGCCUCCGACGAAUUCUUUAAGCUCCAAAAGGAGUUUUUCAACAAAAAUGUGAUCAAUGCCUUCUAGCUCGUGAAAGAUAAGGUGCAGUUUAAAUUUAUCAACCUCAACCUUGAUAUCCUAAUAUUGACUUGAACAAUACCAGAUCAAAACCUCUUGUCAUCACAUAUAGAUCCGUGGACUCACUAGAUAUGGGUUAGAGGAGUUACCAUCGAUCUUUUUUGUUUAGGUGUGAUUGUCCACCAAAUUGAAUAGGUCCUAUUUAAAGAGGAGUCCCAAGAUUGACUUAGGUAUCUUUAAAUAUUAGAUUCUGAUAUAUGAAACCAAAGUUUAGGUUUAAGAGUACGAUUAUGCGUAAGAAAGGCUAUAGCAUCCCCACAAUGCUUAUCCAAAAGAUGGUACCAGUUUGAUUUCAAAUUAUCCAAGCCUUGAUCAUAUUUGUAAUUUACCAAAUUAUUUAAUAUUGACGAUUAGUCUUAAAAUUGUCCUAAUAGUUUGGUAGCAAUUUAAGAUAAUUUUCUCACCUUAAGAGUAUUUAUGGAGACUAGUAUCCCACUCUGAAGAGACUCUGUUGUCAAAUUUAUUAAUUUAUUUUCUUUCAAAAAAAUAAGUAAAGUCUCAUAAUAGUUUGGCAGGACUUACUUUAAAAUAGAUCUCCCAACAUUUUGGUAAGAUUUUAUUUUAAAAAGAUUUGUAAAAAUUUAUUUGUUUUUAGAAAAUUCAUUAAGUCUCCCAAUAGUUUAGUAAGACUUAAUUUAGAAAGCAAUCCUCCAAUAGUUUGGAGGAUGAAAAUUAUUUAUUUUUAUUUUUUUAUAUUUUUUGAAACCAAUUUUUUGAAUUUUCCAAUAGUUUGGUGGAUUUCAUUUUGUAAAAUAAAUUCAUGAAAAUUCUCCAAUAGUUUGGUAAAUUCAUGAAUUUAUUUUGUAAAGAUUUUUAUUUGAAAAAAGAUUUUUUUAUUUUAUUCCUAUAUUUCAUAAAGACAAUUUUUUAUGUUUGGUAAAUACAAGGUUACUGAAUAAAAAAAUAGUAAAGUAAAAAUAAAAUAAAAAGUCAAAAAUAAGAAAAAAUAAAAACUUAAAAUAUGAAAAUAAAUAAAAUAAAAAUUGAAAAAUGAAAUAAAAAAGAAAAAAAAAACCUACAAAACGAAUCAGGUCAGCACGUGGGUCGGCAAGUAGGUCAAUCAGGUUACACGUAGAUCUUGUGUUUGUAGAAACGAUGUCAUUUUGAGGUGGGUAUAUAAGCCAAUCUUCAACCUUUUCUUUUAGAAAGCCAGUCUUUUCUCUGUCUCUACCUUCAGAUUUCUCUACCUUCUCUCUAGGAUAGCUAAGAACAAUACCGAAAAGUUUAACUGAAAACUGAAAAACCUAUCGAUUUCUAGAAAACUUGCCAAAAAGUUCAACCAAAAAUUGGAAAACCCAUCGAUUUCUGAAAAACUCGUCGAAAUCCCACCAAAAAAUUCAACCUUCACCAAAAAAUUCAAAAAUUCAUCCCCAAACCUAGAUUUUCCCAAAUUUUUUCAAAACAUUAAAAAAUGCCAAAAAAUUUGACCCUGAUCCUAGAGUUUCGAAACUUCAAUCCCAACAUUCUGAGACAGAAACCAUAAGCUCAAGCUUUCAAAUUACACAGAAUAUCGAACCUAGAAACUCCCAGAACCAAAAUCUCAAAAACCUAGCUCCCAAAAAUUUUCUCAAACCCCAUUUUCCCAAAAUUCAAUCUCUAUCCACUUUUAUCUAAUUCUUGGUUUAAUUUAUAGGCAAUAUUAAGAGGAUUUUUAGGAAAUGAACAAAAUCAAUCUAAGCUUGAAUUUUGGAAUAAGGUUUUAUUCGAGUGUGAUCUUGGGUCUCGGAUUUGAUCCCACUUAAUCUCAACAGUCAUGCCCAUCUUCCAUCUUAGUCUCAAUUUGCAAAUUUGUUGAUAUUGAUUGCACGAGAAAAGAAAGAAACAUGAGAACAAAAUAAUAAUAAUAAUAAUAAUAAGAAUAAUAAUAAUAGUAAUAUAAUUAUAAUACUAAUAUAAUAUAGAAUAAUAAAAAUAUAAUAAUAAUACUAAUAGAUUACAAUAUACGAUAUAAUAUAUUAUACUAUACAAUAUGAUAUAAUAAUACUAAUAGUAAUAAUAAUAUAAUAUUAUACUACUAUAAUGUCAUACUAUACUGCUAUAAUAAUAUAUACAAGGGGAAUUGAUAUCGAUUAGCUCUGAACAUAGAUGAGUGUCUACAGUUACCCUUUUUUACACAUCGCUGUUAGAUAGGGAUGAUGUAAUGACCUAGACACCCAUUCUAUUCGAGUCAAAUCAACGAGUGAAAAUGAUCGAGACUGAACCACAAGUUGGGGAGAUGAUUUGGGUUGAAUCGGGAUCGAAUGAUUAGAAUGAUGCCAUAAGUCAGAAAAAUGACCUGUAUCAAGCCAAGAUUGGAUGAUUGGGAUGAUGUCGUGAGUCUAAAAGUGAUCAAGAUCGAGUUGAGGUCGUGAAUAAUCGGGACGAUACUGCAGUCUGAAAAUGAUCUAGACUGAGCCAAGAUCGGAUGAUUGGGACAAUGCUAUUAGUCUAAAAAUGAUCAAGAUUGAGUUAAAGUCGUAGAUAAAUGAUCGAGAUGAUAUUACUGUCUGAAAGCGACCAAGAUCGAGUCAAGGUCAUAGAUAAAUAACCAAAUGAUGCCACAAGUUUGAAAAUGACCAAGAUCAAGUCAAGGUCAUGAAUGAUCGAAAUAAUGCUACGAGUCUAAAAUGAUCUAGCCUAAGCUGAGAUCGGAUGACUGGGAUGAUGUCGUGAGUCUAAAAGUGACUAAAAUUGAGUCAAAAUCAUAGAUAAAUGACUGAGAUGAUACCAUGAGUCAGGAAAAUAAUUUAGAUUGAGCUGAGUUCAGAUGAUUGGGAUGUAUCACAAGUGUUAAAAAUGAUCCGGAUUGACCCAAGAUCAGAACUUAUGAUGAAUGAUCAUGCAAUGAUAUGAAUGUAUGCUCUAUCUAUGAUGCAAAUGGAACAUCCAUUAUGGUACUAAAGCUUCUACAACUUUCAUUUGCAUUUUCAUUUUUAUACACCUUUGGCAAGGAAACUAUCAUUCGUUACCCUAAAUAAGAAUUUAUCUUUAUCUUAAGGAAAGCUUUUGAAAUCAAUGAAUCUCUUUUAUUUGGAAGAGUUCAUUUUUGGUACUUCUCUCUUUCAAUUUUCAAAGUAGCACAUAAUUUCUUAUGACCUUGUUCAAUUAUAAAUCAUUGUCUUAAUUUCAAUACAUGAGAUGCAAGUUGUGCACUUCUUUUAUUCAUGGUAAGGUAUAAAAGAAAAAGGUAAAUAUAUAUUAAAAGUGAGAAAUAAAACAAAUAUCAUUUAUUUGGAUAAGCAAUAAAUUACAGAUGAUGGCAUAGAAAUAAAAUGAAAGUGUAUAGAGACGAUCAUAUAAUCAUGACAAAAUCUUGGAUUUAUUAAAAAAUUCAACCAAAAUAUGAUGCCCCGACAUUUUAAAGUUCUUUAGAAUUCAUUGAUUUUGGUAUGCUUUUCAAAUGAUGUUGUAUUCUACUUAUCCAAAUCGCCCUCAUUCAGUUCAAGCCGCCCUUUUGGGUUUUUAACUUGAACUCUUCUCUUUUUUUUUUUUUUUGUUUUGGGUUCAAGCUACCCUUUUGGGUUUUCAGCUUAAAACUUUUUUUUUUGUUCAAGUUGUCUUUUUGGGUUUUCAGGUUGAACUAUUUUUUUUUUUGGGGCUCAAGCAAAGUACUUCUAUAUAGUAUCAAAAUUGAUAGGAUUAAGAAGCUCAUUUCCAUCCAUCUCUAACAAGAUUAUGGCUCUUUUUGAAAAAGCUCUUUUUUUAACAUAUGAUCAUUUCCAAUUUGGAGUCCAUUUCCAUCUACCAUCAUGUUGACUUGAAAGAAUUCUUUUCAAUACCAACUCUUCUUCUCGAAAUUGAUGAGAUUAGACCUUUUUAUCAUGAGCCAUCAUCAUUCUUUUGAUACAAUUAAUUGUGAUAGAGUGUUGCUAAUCUCUUUUUUUUAAUGAAAUUUAAUUGUUCAUAGCACUUUUGGACCAUCGGGCUCUUCUAAUCCCACUUCUCUUAAGACUCUUAGAGAUAAAAUUUUUACUUUUAUUGGCAAUACAGCUUUCAUUCCAUAAACCAAGAAAAAAAGAGUUACCCCUGUAGAAGUGCGCAUGGAGGUUUGAUAAGCAUACAAAGCAAAAGGUAGUUUUUCAUACUAGUCUUUAUAUGUUUCAGUCAUCUUUUCUAAAAUCUUUUUGACAUUUUUAUUUGCAGCAUUGAUUGCCUUAUUCAUUUUUGGUGGUGUGAACCUGAAUUAUGGUGUUUAAUUUUGAACUGAGUACAUACUUCUUGCAUCAUUUUGCUAUUCAAGUUUUUUGCAUCAUCUGAGAUGAUCUUUUCUAAGAGCUAUAUCUGUAGAUUAUCUUUCUUUUGAUGAACUUGCAAAUCAUUGAUCUAGUUACAGUUAUGAAAGAAGUAGCUUCGACCUAUUUAAUGAAGUAAUCAAUCAUCAUAAAAAUAAAUUUAUUCCUAUUUGAGGCCUUUAGGAUAAUGGGACCAAUAACAUCCAUUCCCCAUAUAGAAAAUGGCCACGGUGGUGCCAAAACUUGUAUAACAGUAGGUGGGGCAUGAAUUUUGUUGAUGUAAAUUUGGCACUUGUGAUAUUUUUUAGCAUAAUCAAUGUAAUCUUUUUUCAUUGUCAACCAAUAAUAUUCAGCCCACAUGAUCUAUCUAGCCAUCAUGCAUCCAUUUACAUGUGCACCACAUACACCAUCAUGGACUUCCCCAAUAAUCUUUUUGGCCUCAGAGGCAUUUAUACAAUGCAAUAACACUUGGUUUCUGCUUCUCUUAUACAAAACUUUUCCAUCUAAAAAGAAUCCUACAGUUAAUCUUUUUGGGACUCUUUUAUCAUUAUUUGUUGCUUGAUCUAGGUACUACUGACUCUUUAGAUAUCACAUAAUGUCAUGAUACUAGGGAUUGCCAUCUUUUUCCUUCUCUAGGUUGGUACAAUGCAUCAGCACAUUUUUUUAUAUAAUUUAAUGGGUUGAAUUUUAGCUAUGUCGUCAAUUUGCAUUAUCAUAACUAAAGUUGCCAAAGCAUCUAUUAUUUGAUUAUCUUUACGAGGUAAAUGUUUAAAUUGGAUAUUUUCAAAUUGUUUAUACAACUCUAAAAUAUAUUUAUGGUAAAGGAUGAGUUUUGAAUCCCUUGUCCCCCAUUUGCCCUUUAGUUGAUAGAUAACCAAAGCUGAAUCUCCGAACACCUUUAAUGUCUCAAUUUUUUUUGUCCAAAGUAGCACUUAAUCUGAUAACACAAGCUUCAUAUUCAACUAUAUUAUUAGUGCAGUUGAAAUUUAAUCUUGCUAUCAUGGCGUAGUAAUGUUCUAUUAGAGAUAUUAAUACCAUUCCAAUCCCAUACCCUAUGACAUUGGCAACCCCAUCGAAAUACAUUCUCCAUGUCUCUUUCUCAUCUUUGUCUUCUUCUACUAUUGAGAUGGCUAUUAAUUCUUCAUUUGUAAAAUCUAGUUUCAUAGCUUCAUAAUUUUCAGUAACUCGAUCUAUGAGGAAUUUGGUAAUGAUGCUUCAUUUGAUUGCUUUUUAGCUCACAUACACUAUAUUGUAUUCCAAAAGCAUUACUUGCCAUUUUGUGAUUCUUUCUGAUGGUGAUGGCUUUUCAAAGAUAUAUUUGAUUGGGUUAAUUUAGUUAUGAGCUAAAUUGUAUGGUAGAGCAUGUACUGCCUGAGUCUUUUAGCUAUCCAAGCCAAGGCACAACAUAUAUUCUCGAGCAAUGAAUACUUGGAUUCAUAUUCCAUAAACUUCUUACUCAAGUAGUAAAUAGCUUUUUCUUUCUUAUUAGAUUCAUUUUUUUACCCUAGCACACAUCCCAUUACUUAUCAUGUACCACUAUAUAAAGAAUCAAUAGCUUUUCUAAAACGAGUGAUGUUAUUAUUGGAGGAUUUGAUAAGUAUUACUUGACCUUGUCAAAAGCUUUUGGCAUUUCCUUAUUCCAUUCACUAGGAUCAUUCUUUCGAAAGAGCUUAAAGAUGGGAUCACAUUUAAGGGUGAGUUGAAAAAUGAAUCGAGAAAUAUAUUUCAAUCUGCCUAAGAAGCCUUGAACCUCCCUUUGUAUACUUGGAGGAGAUAAAUUUUGAAUGGCCUAAAUUUUAUUCAAAUAAACUUUAUCCCUCUUUCACUGACUAUAAAUCCCAAUAGUUUUCCUGACUUGGCUUCAAACGUGUAUUUGGACGGAUUUAGCUUAAGUUAAAAUUUCCUUAGCCUCUCAAACAAUUUUCUAAGAUUAGCUACAUGGUCUUCUCUCUUUUGAGAUUUUGUAAUCAUGUCAUCCGCAUAAAUCUCAAUCUCUUUGUGCAUCAAAUCAUGAAAAAAUGUUACCAUAGCCCUUUGAUAAAGUUGUCCCAGCAUUUUUCAUUUUGAAAGACAUGAUUUUGUAAUAAAAGGUUCCCUAAAUAGUUAUAAAUGUGGUAUUUUCAUGUCAUCCAGAGCCAUUUUUAUUUGAUUAUAGCUAGAGAAUCCAUCUAUAAAAGAAAAUACUGAGUGUUGGGCUGUAUUGUCCACCAAAGUAUCAAUAUGAGAUAGAGAAAAUUGUCUUUAGGACUAACUCUAUCCAAAUCAUGGUAAUCUACACACAUCUGUACUUUUUCAUCCUUCUUGGGGAUAGGUACUAUAUUAGCACCUAUUUAAGGAUAUUUGGCCACUUGUAGAAAGCCUACAUCAAAUUAUUUUUUUGCUUCUUUUUUAUUUUCAAUAACAUCGUUGGCUUCAUUCUUCUCAACCUUUGUUGGAUUGAUUUGCAUUCAGGCUUCAAUGGUAGCCUAUGUUCUACUAUUUCAAUGCUGAGCCCAAGCAUAUCUUAGUAGGACUAGGCAAACACAUCUACAAAUUCUCAUAGCAAAUUCUCUAAUCAUUGUCUAUCAACUAAAUUGUUGGAAGUGAAGUACCAACCUUUAUUUUUUUUUUAUUCUCAGUAUCUCUUAAAUUGACCAUUUUAAUAACUUCUUGAUGAGGCUUGAUGGAUUUAUUCUCCUGUUCAAUUAAUCUCAUUAAAUCUGAAGACAUAGUGUAUUCUUCAAAGUCUUUUUCAAUAUCAAUUCAUCAGUAUUAAUUGAAUUUUCAAAAUUAAACCUGGAUCAUUAUCAUGAUUACUUUCAUAUUCAUUUGGGACCUGAAAAUUAAUGAAAUAAGAAAUAUUGCCGAAAUGCUUUAAUGGGAUAAUGGAUGGAAUAGAAGACAUGGACAAAAUUCAUGCUUCUACUUUUAUGGAAAUAAUGAAAAAAAAAGGCCUAAACAUAAGAAUUUAUCCAAACACUUUCAAACAUAAGCAAUUAGGAGAUGUGAUUACAUUAAAAAAAACCAUAGGCAUUUGGAUGACACUCUAAUUCUGUAAUUCAUAGCUGAGUGGGCAUAAGUAAACCAAAGCUUUUUCAUUUUGGUUUUCAUUACCCACUAUAUGAAUGGAUAACUUGGAAAAAGUUUCCUCUCAUUUUGAUUCUUCUUUUGUAUCUUCCAUAGCUUCUGAGUGCAUGUAUUUUCCAAAAAUAAAAGUCUCAUUUAAAUGGGGAACAACCAUCAACCCAUUUUUUAUCUUUUUAUUGUUAUUUUACACUUCUUCCAUCUCGUAACCUAAUCCUAAUCUGUCACUAUUGUCUUCGAUUUUUGGUGGCCCUCUUAUUUCUUGUAGACUUUUGCCCAAAGCAGAACUCGAUACUUCAACCCUUAUUGAUCAUCUAAUUGAUCAUAAUUUUACUGAACUUGAGCCCUUCACCUACUGCAUUGAUGGGUUUAAAAGAUUGAUAAGAGCAUUCUAAUGAUUCUUCUACGGUUUCUAUAUAUAAGGCAUUUAUAGGUUGAGUCACCAAUAGGUCUUUUUUCCCGUUAUAAUCACCAAUUGGCCUUUUAUAUUAAAUUUAUUUUUUGGUACGGUGAGGAAGGGACUGUGCCUGCCCUGUGAAUCCAUGGCCUUUCUAAUAAGCAAUUUUAGGAUGAGAGACAUCUAUGACUUGAAAUUUUAUGUUGAAAACAUACAGCCCAAUCUACAUAGGCAACUCAACAUCUCUCAAGACUUCGUGUCUAGUCCCAUCAAAUGCUUGAACCAUCAUAUGACUACUUUGGAUAUAGGACAUAUCAAAGGGCAGCUUGAUUAGAGUAGACACUGGCAUGACAUUAAUAGUCGAUCCAUUAUCAAUAAAGACCUUGGCUAUUAUAUGGUUUUUGCACUUAACAGUGAUGUUUAAAGCCUUGGUGCUCCCUCUUCCCUCAGACGAGAUCUCAUCGUCAUUGAUAGAGAUAUGAUGUGACACCACUAGGUUCCCUACCAAGUGAUUCACAUAUUCUACAGAUACAUUAUGGGCCACAUAAGCUUGAUUUAGUACCUUCAAUAAGGCAUUACGAUGUGGUUCUGAAUUCAAGAGAAGUGAUAACAAAGAGAUUCUGGCUGACAUCUUAUUCAAUUGCUCUACCAUAGAGUAUUCACUAUGUUUUACUAGCUUCAAGAACUUGCAGGCUUCAUUUUCUGGUAUAGACUUUGAAAUGUUUUUCUCCUGUAUCACGUUUGGCUUAACCUGCAUUUUUGUCACCUUUUUUAUUUUCUUCAAGGUCUUUGGAGUAUAGCACCUUCCACUUUUGGUUAUGCCACUUACACAUAUUAUGUUGGCAGUUUCAGAUUGAGACAUAACCUUUUCUUGUCCCUAGAUUGUUACCUCACAAUCAUAUCUCCAUAGUAUAGCUUUCUCAUCUUUAUAGGGAAAUGGGCAUGAGACUUUGAAAGCUAUUACUUUGGGAACAAAUUUAUUCUCGACUAGUUUUAGUUUCUCACUACAAUGAUUAGUGAAAGGCUUAGGCACCCAUCUAUCUGUCAUAGCCACCUCAAUAUCUUUCGAGGCUUUUGACUCUUCAUAAAAUUCCAUCUAGUAUGAGUCAAUUAGUUUUUACACCUCAUCAUAAAAUUGUUUACAGAUGUCAAUAUAGUGCUUUGGAGUUCUACUGUGAUACUUACAUCUUUGAUUAGGGAUGCAUCUUUCCACAUAAGUGCAUGGAGCUACGCUUGUAUCAACUCGACCUUAUAUAAGGCGUCAUACAGCUAGUUAAAUGACAUUUUAAACUCUUUCCACCUUCUUUUCAUAUGCCUUUUGUCCUUGUCUAAGGCAUUGAUUGUAUGAUUGGAUAAAAGAUUUUUCACUGUUGUUGGGUGUUGAGUCCCCACUAGUAUCAAAACUUAUCAGCCCUUCUUUAAUUAGAUGUUACAUUUUUUACUUCAAAAAAAUGUAAUUCUCAGUAGAAUGGCCUGUUACCCCAUAAUGGUAGCUAUAAUAGGCAGUGGUAUUAUACCAUUUGGGAUAGGGAGAUUUAGUUUAUUUUACAAAAAAGAGGGCAAUGAGGUGGUUUUUAUAGAGCUCUUGAUAUAGCUCAGUGUAGCUUGUAGGUAUAGGAUCAAAUGUGGGUCUUUCCCUUAUCUGUGGUUCUUGGGCAUUACUUGUUGUGCUGGCUGGGUAAGCAGGUGAUCGUGAUGAGGAUGGAGUCAUGUAGUUAGUUGAUAAGGGGAAGUGGCAGUAUGGUUCAUAGUGUAGUGAUAUGUUGGAUAGGUUGGCCAAGAGUAGCUUGUAAAUUGCUGCCCUCAAGACUCACAGCUUGAGUCUCACUCUUUUUCUUCUUAGACGCACUUUUAUAAGACUCUUUUUCUUUAAGUUUGCCAUUUUUAUGGUAUUUUUAAUGAUCUCUCCCAAAAUCACUAGGUCAGCAAAGUUCUUAGUCGUGUUUCCUAUCAUUCUUUCAUAGUAUGGCAACUUUAAAGUGCUCAUGAACAGCACUGUAGUUUUUUUUUUUCUAUUAAGGGAGGUUAUACCAGAGUAGUUAUAUCCUGUCACCUUUGGGCACAUUGCUUGAAGGAUUCAGAUGCUUUUUUUUCCAUUCUUUAUAAGAAAAAGAGAUCAAAAGCCAUAUCAAUGAUGUGGUAGUACUGAUUAAUAAAGAAUCAGGUCAAAUCUUUUUAUGACUUUAUAAGAGUUUCAUCUAACUGAACAUACCAUCUUGUUAUAGACUCAGUUAAACUAUAUUGAAAGACGUGCAUGAAUAACUUCUUGUUGCUAGCAUGCGUUACCAUCUUUGCCAUAAUACAUUAUGAUAUGUGUGAUAGGACACUUAGUACUGUCAUACUUCUCAAAAUUUUAUAUUUUAAAUUUAGGUGGUAUCACCACAUCUGAUACUAAACAAAGCCCCAUUGCAUCCAUAGAUCCAUAGAAAUCGAUUCUUUCAUUGGCUUGUAAUCUUUUCUCGAUUUUAUUUAUGGCUUGAUUGAUUUUAAAAUUUUUUAAAAGUGCAGCUGCCUGUAACUUUCCUUUUUCUUUUGUUUCAUCCAAAGUAGGGAGUUGAAUGGGCUUAACUACUUUUUUUAAUGAAAACAGAAUUAUUAAAACUCUGGAUGUUCUCAUGACGAUGUGCAUAAGUCAUUCCUAGGUAGUUGUAAUUUAGAAACGUAGCCUGUUAUGGUUGAAAGCUUAGGAAAAUUUGAGUCUGAUAUGGAUCGAAACCUAGAGGAUAUGUUGAUUCAGUAGCUUCUUAUGAGGUAUCUUCUUCCAUUGAUUUUUCUUUAUUUAUUUUUUUGUAAAGCUUUCAGAAUCUUGCUUAGCUUUCCUUCAAUUAUCUUCUAGGCUUUUUCUAACCUUUCGAAAUGAUUUGCAUUGUCUUACUCCAUUUUCUUAGCUCUUACUCGGGUGUUGUAUAAAUGUGUAGCUGUUCUUGCACCUUAGUACCACGAUGAAAUUAGUGAUGAUGAUAUGAUAAUGAAUGAAUGAGAUGCAAUGCAUGGGAAAAGAAAAGAAAAGAAAAUAUUUGCCCUUUUAAAAAUUUCAACAAAAGUGAGUUUUCAUUUAUUCCACAAGAGUCUGUUUUACAUCUGAUCUAAUACUAUCUCUUUAUAAAAGUGCCUAACUUGCUCAUACUGGUCUUUAGCCUCCUUAAUGAAGUUUAGCAGUCUCUAUCCAUGUUUCUCUGCUAAUGUGAUCAAAGCUCUCAAUGCCUCAGCCUCUUUCAUCAUUUCGUAUGCCUUGAUCAUUGCUUUGCUAUCUAAGCUGUGAGAUGCUCUAUGUAAUUUUAUCUUUUUAACCCUUUUUUCCUUGCCAUACCACACCUAUAGGAUAAUUCUUUAUGCUUCUCUGUGAGUGUUCUGAUGCGGUCUCUUUGUUCAUUCAACUUCAGCUUCAGGGUCAAAAUGUAAUUUGUAAGCAUUUCAUUUUUUUUGCUAAACUUUAAUAUAAUCAUCUUCUAUUUGUGAACAUUCUCUUGUCAACUCUUCAUUCUCAUGAGCUAGAUCUGUGUUGUUUAUUUCUUUGGCCUGCACUUGUAUGCAUAAUCUUUUGUGCUAUUAUUAUAAUUCCCUCAAUUCUUUAAGGGCAUCAUCCCACUCUUGAACAACCCUUUGGGCCUUACUGUGUUCCUUGAAAAUCUUAUGGACUUGGACUUUUAAUUUUUCUUCUUUGUUUUGCCACUGUUUUUUUUUUUUUUAAGUUUCAAAAUUUCUUGUUUCAGCUUCUCUUUCUCCAUUUCAUGUUCUGACUUUAAAGGUGUAUUGUCUGACUUUUGAUUCACUGAUUGGCAAUAGUCUUUAGGCAUAGGUGUCACAUCUUAGCCUCUUUUGGUUUUCCAAAUCAGAUACCCAUGAGUGGCCUUAUCGGUAAAAUAGUCCAGGGCUUACUCUCUUGGGCUUCUUCUAGGCCUUGAUCAUGUUAUUAAUUUUUUGAAAAGUUUCGAGCUCCCUAUAUGAAUAAGCAAACUAGUUGAGCUUAUAAGUUAUAGGAAUAAACUAUUCGGCUCUAUGCUAUCUCCUUACCAUUAGUGGUGCAUAACUCAUUGACCUCUAUAAACCUAAAAGUGGAACCCCUAUCUCAUCUCUGCAUUGAUACAUCAUAGGUUUUUGGUUUAUCCAUGGAGCUAACCAUUUCACUUUACUAGCCGUGAGCUUUUGCAAUAGACAUUUUCACUAUUUCUGAGUCAUUGCUUCUAGCCAAAUGCUCUGUCAUAACUCCCUAAUUAGGAUUUGACUAUGAAAAUAAAGCUUGGAGAAUGCACUUUUCUUGCAUUCAAAUGGCUCUUCAUCCAUAGAUAUAGUAGUAGUAUGUAACCCAUGAAGCGUGCUUUGUCAUUCUGCUUACAAAAGUUCAAAGAUCUAAUGGUUUCUGCCAAGAUAGCUGGUGAAAGAUUACACCCAUUUUCAAUCUACUCAAAUAGAUCAACCAUUUCUAUCUCAAUGUGGCCUAAGACUUUGGGGAAAAUGACCAUUCUAUAUAUGGCCAAUGCAAACACUCUUAUCCCCUGAUCAUCAUUUGGAUGUUUGACAAUGAAAUCUUGGAGAAUCUUUCAUGGAAUACCCUUAUGACCUUUUUUUCUCGAAUAUACGAAUCUAUGAUCUCUUUUCCCACUCCUAGAAUCUGAACUAGCUUUUUGCAAUUUUUUAAUUUAUGCUUCUUCAUAGAUAUUCUAUCUGGAUAUAGUAGAUACAUACCACCAAAAUCAAAUACUCUUCUACCAUUGGUACCAAAUCAACUUCAUUAAAGAUGAAGCAACGAUAUGAACGAUCCCAAAAUCGUAUCAUUGCCUUAAUGAGUGAAUUAUCAACCUUCACUGACAAGAGAUAUGUAAUAUGCCCAAACUUCUGACAAAAAGCUUCCUGCCUUGAAGGAGUCAUGCUAUUCCAUAUGUCUGAUAGGCUUUUCAAAUCAUUUUUCUUGAGAAGCAAGCAAACUUUCUUUGAUAGUGUAGAGAUAUGAUCAGGUGGUAAACAAUCUCCUUCUUCUUGUUGUCUCUUUUUUGACUCUAUCUUUAUAUCUAUGGAUGAGUCGCAUUUGAAAAGUAUAGAUGAGGCGUAAACCUGACGUUCUGUGAGGUCCAUGCGAGCUUUUGUUGAAAUGACUUUUAGGGCAAGAAUACUAUGUAAUUUGUAAAUAUGUUUAUGAAUAUGCACAAGAGAAAAAGAAAUAAAAGAAGACAAGGAAAUUAGUUAGUCACUUCAUUAAUAAAACACAUAAACACCAUAUAGCAAGUAAGAUAACAACAUGACCUUGAAUUUUGGAUUGACUACAAAGGGUGGAAAGAUAAGGCUCUAUCUAUGGUUAGGCUCUUGAUAUUAACUAUAUGCGGUUUGGGUUAAUUCUAAAAGAUUUUCAAAUUAUUCCUUACAUCAUCGUCCAUCAUAGACUAGUGUGGCACCCUGAUUCUUGCCCAUUAUAGGCUACAAGCGAAAAUAGUUCAAUUUGAGUGGGAGUGUUUCAUAAGCCCAUGCGGGACAUGAAAUCUCACGAGGGCAUAGGUAUUUCACUCCCUCCUAAAGGUAGAGCUUAAGUGGAGAGCUUUAUGUUAUGCACAUGCAAAUGAAUGACAAAUAUAUAUAGGUGAAUAACUAAGGAAAUAUAAAUAAUGAAAAAAAAAGAAAUAAGAAAUAAAGAAAAUAAUCAUAAAUUUUUAAGCAAGGCUUGGAUAAUAAAAAAUCAUUUACUGACCUGACUCUUGAUAUCCCUAGUGGAGUCACCAAGCUAUCAUCACACAUAGAUCUAUAGACUUUUCGUCAAUCUUUUCUGUUUGGGUGUGAUUAGCCACCUAAUUCAAUCUAUUCUAUUUAAAAGAAGAGUCUCAAGAUUGACUUAUGUAUCUUUAAAUAGUAGAUUCUGAUCUACAAAAUCAGAGUUUAGGUUUGAGAGUACAGUUACGCAUAAGAAAGGUUAUAGCACCCCUACAACACCCAUCCAAAGGAUGGUACUAGUUUAAUUUUAGAUUAUCAAACCUUGAUCAUAUUUGUAAUUUACCAAAUUAUUUAAUAUUGACAAUUAGACUUAAAAUUGUCCCAACAGUUUGGCAGUAAUUUAAGAUAGUUCUCUUAUCUUCAGGAGUAUUCAUGGGGACUAGUAUCCUACUCCGAAUAGGCUCCGUCAUUCGAUUUAUUAAUUUAUUUUAUUUAAAAAAAAUAAGUAAAGUCUUUCAAUAGUUUGGUAGGACUUACUUUGAAAGCAGAUCUCCAACAUUUUGAUGAGAUUUUAUUAUAAAAAGAUUUGUAAAAUUUAUUUUUUUUGAGAAAAUUCAUUAAGUCUCUCAAUAGUUUAGUAAGACUUAAUUUAAGAAGCAAUCCUCCAAUAAUUUGAAUGAUGAAAAUUAUUUUUUCCUUUUUUUUAGUAUUUUUUGAAACUGAUUUUUGGAAUUUCCCGAUAGUUUCAUGGAUUCCAUUUUAUAAAUUAAAUCCAUGAAAAUUCUUCAAUAGUUUGGUAAAAUUUAUGAAUUUAUUUUGUAAGGAUUCUUAUUUGAAAAAGAUUUUUUUGUUUUUAUUUCCAUAUUUCAUAAAGAUAAUUUUUUAUGUAUGGUAAAUACAAGGUUACUAAAUAAAAAAACAAUAAAGUAAAAAUGAAAUAAAUAAUCAAAAAUAAGAAAAUAAAUAGAAACUUAAAAUAUGAAAAUAAAUAAAAUAGAAAUAAAAAAGGAAAAGAAAAACCUAUAAAACGAAUCGGGUUAACACGUGGGUCGACAAGCGGGUCAAUCGGGUCACGCGUGAAUCUUGGGUUUGCAGAAACAGUGUCAUUUUAAGGUGGGUAAAUAAGCCAAUCUUCAACCUUUUCUUUUAGAAAGCAAGUCUCUCCUCUCUCUCUAUCUUCAUAUUUCUCUACCUUCUCUCUAGGAUAGCCAAGAACAACACCGAAAAGUUCAAUUGAAAGCUGGAAAACCCAUCGAUUUUUAAAAACUCACUGAAAAGUUCGAUCGAAAAAUAAAAAAACUCGCUAGAAUCCCACUGAAAAAUUCAACCUUUGCACAAAAAUUUCAUGAAAAAAUUCAAAAAUUCAUCUAAAACCUAGAUUUUUCCAAAUUUUUUCAGAACCCAAAAAAAUUCCAAAAAAUUUGACCUUGAUCCUAGAGUUUUGAAACUUAAAUCCUAACACUCUGAGAUAGAAAGCAGAAGCGCAAACCUUAUAAUUACACAGAAUAUUGAACCUAGAAACUCCCAGAACCAAAAUCUCAUAAACCUAACUCCCAAAAAUUUUCUCAGACCUUUUUUUUCUCAAAAUUCACUCUCUGUCCGCUUCAUCUGUUUCUUAGUUUAAUUUAUAGGCAGUCUUAGGAGGAUUUUUAGGAAACUGAUAGAAUCAAUCUAAGCUUGAAUCUUGGAAUUGGGUUUUGUUCGAGCAUGAUCUUGGGUCUUUGAUUUGAUCCCACUUAAUUUGAUAGUUACCCUGAUUUGAUUCUGUUUAAAAAUAUUUGAUCAUGCCCAUCUUCCAUCUCAGUCUCAAUUUCCAAAAUUGUUGUUGCUGAUUACAUGAGAAAGGAAAGAAACAUAAGAACAAAAAUAAAAUUAAAAAUAAAAUAAAUAAUAAUAAUAAUAAUAAUGAUGAUGAUGAUAGUAAUAUAAUUGUAAUAGUAAUAUAAUAUAGAAUAAUAAAAAUAUAAUAAUAAUACUAAUAGAUUACAAUAUGCAAUAUAAUAUAUUAUAUUAUAUAAUAUGAUAUAAUAAUACUAAUAGUAAUAAUAAUAUUUUAUUAUAUUACUAUAAUGUCAUUCUUACUAUUUUAAUAAUAUAUGCAAGGAAAAUUGAUCUCGACUAGCCCUGGACACAGAUAAGUGUCUACAUCUCCUUCAAAUCAAUCUGAUGAUGAAGAGAGAGAAUGAGAGGAUAAAGAUGAUGCAUUAGACUUCGGGCUCAAGGAUGAAAGGGGUGCAACUGAAGGGGAACAAGCUGAUGUUGUUGCUGCUACCGCUAGAGAUACUAACGCCACUGCUACUGCUACUGAUGUUUAGCUCUUCUUUUCUUUUUGUUAACUUUUGUAAAUUUUUGUUUAAGUGUGAGGUCGAGUUUUUGUUAUAACCUUGCUAAAAAAUCACUCUAAUCAAUUUUUGUCAAUUACAAUUCUUUUUGUACUGAUCUCAUAUUACUAAUGAAAAAUUUACAACAUUUUGUUCUAAAGUUUUAGUUCAAGUUUAUUUAGUUUAAAAUUUUCAUGUUUAAGCUUAGAUAGCCACUUACAAGAUGACCUUGCGACUUAAGUAUUAUGAGAUUAGCUUAGACAAUUUAAGAUAAUUGAUUUAAUUGGAAUAAUUAAAUAUUAUGAGUUUCAGCCUAACUCGAGUGAGCUUAGAAUUAGGUUGGGCUUCAUUAGGUUGGUUUAUUUCUGAGUCCAAGGACUAAGAUGAACGUUAUCAUGUUUGGGCCUUAAGUUUCAGGUUGGACACAUUAGGUCAGAAACAUUAUUCUUGGGCUGAUCAAUGAAUGAGAUUAUCAUAACUUUAUUGACUUUUGGAUUACAAGUAUGAGCUCGGUUUAAUCUAAGCUACUAAUAAUAUACUUUCAAAUUAUUUUUGUUCCAUGUCUUUGAUAGGCAAUUGCCAUUAAUAUCUUGUAAUCUGUAAGUUGCAUCAUGGACAACCUUUUUAAUCACAUAUGGUUCUUCCCAGGUCAGAGUUAUUUUUUCACCUUGGUCAUCACCUUUAAGGCUUUUAACUUUUCUAAAUAUCAGGUUGCCCUUCUUAAUGUUCUUACAUCAGAAACUUUUGUUAUAAUAGCUAGAUACCCUUUAUUGGUAAGCUACUAUUAGUGUUAAAGCCAUGUUUUUCUAUUCUUCAACUAAGUCUAGGUCCAUCUUUAGGGCCUCUUUAUUUUAGUCUUCUAACCCUAAUUUAACUCUCAAGUUUAGAAGAUCGAUCUUGACAAGCAUCAUGGCCUCUAUUUCAAAUGCUAGGUGGAAUAAGAUUUCUCCUGUGGGUACCGUGGUAAUCAUCCUCAGGGCCCAUAGUACCCUAGAAAGUUCUUCAGCCCACUUUCUUUUUGUCUUGUUGAAUCUUUUUUUUAGGGCCUCUAAUAUUGUCUUGUUCGAUUCCUUGGCUUGUCCGUUGGAUUGAGAGUGGGUAAUUGAUGUAAAUCUUAGGUCAAUGUGUAGGUUUGAAUACCAUUUUUUAAACCUUAAAUUUUUAAAAUGUUUACCAUUAUUCAUUAUUAUGGAUCGAGGUUGGUCGAACUUGCAAAUUAUGUUCUUUCACACAAAAUUUUCAACCUGGGCCUUCAUUGUAGUGGCUAGGGCCUUACUUUUAGCCAUUUCGUAAAGUAGCCUAUUGCGACCAAAAUAAAUCUCCUAAGGCUUAUGGUUGGGAUGAAUGAUCCAAGGACAUCUAUUUCUUACUGCAUGAAGGGCUAAGGGCUAGUAAUACGAAUCAGCUCGAUCGACGAGAGAUGUUGUAUAUGGGCAAACUUUUGGCAUUUGUCGUAUCUUUUUACCAAGUCAAUUGUAUCUCUUCUAAUAGUGGGCUAGUAAUAACCUUACCUUAACAUUUUGUAGGCAAGUGGCAAAGGUCUGAAGUGGUUCCUACAUAUUCCUUCAUGGAUUUUUCUCAAGACAUAAUUCAUUUCUUCAUCAUCUACACAUUUCAGAUAAGGUAAGCUAAAAAAUUUUUUAUACAAUUUUUCAUUGAUCAUCGUAUACCGAGGAGCUUUUCUUAUUAAUGCUUUAGCUCAAACCCUAUCCUUGGGCAGUUUUCCUAUAGUUAAGUAUGUUUUAAUUAGGGUUAUCUAAGUUUUUUUUCCUCGAUCUAUCCUACGAGCUUCUCUUCGGUGUUUUUUUGUACCAAUUCUUCCACUAGGACUUGGUUUGAAUUUUCUAUCAUUAUUCCUAAGGCUAGAUUAGAUAAAGAGUCUGCCAGUAAGUUUUCGAACCUCGGUAUUUUUUUUACCUUGACUUUUUAAAAAUUGACGAUAAGGGUGAGUUCUUUGCCUAAAUAUCUUUGGAUUCUCUCUUUUUGGGCUUCAAACUCACCAUUUAUCUGACUGACCACCAGUUGAAAAUCACUAUAUGUGAUUAUAUGCUAAACAUUUAUCUCAUUUGCUGUCUUAAACUGGCUAUCAGUACUUUAUAUUUCUUCUUAUUGUUGGAUACCUUGAAUCUAAAUUUCAGGGUGAAUUGAUACUGUAAUCUUUUCGGACUGAUAAGAAUGAAGCUACUCCACCAUCAUGGCUUGUGGUUGAUCCAUCAAUAAAAAGUUUUCACUUUUACUUUUUUGUAGCUUUCUCGUUCUCUUUGGGCUAUUAUUAGGAUGGGCUAACAUGAGCUCUACAAUGAAGUUUGCCAACACUUAAGAUUUCAAAGUUGACUUGGGAAGUAUGUACAGGUCAAAUUCAUUGAGCUUUACCACCCAUUUAAUUAAUCUCCUUGAUAAUUUUGGCUUCUGCAAGAUUUGCCUUAGCGAUUGAUUAGUCAAUACAUGUAUUAUGAGGCUUGAAAAUACAGCUUAAGUUUUUUAGUUGAAGUAACAAUCACAUAAGCUAAUUUUUUUACUUUGCUAUAAUUUAUCUCUGACCCCGUCGUAUUUACUAACAAAGUAAACUGAUCUUUACUUCUUUUUUUUUUCACAGACUAAGAUCGAGUUGAUGGCCUAGUUUGUGGUAGCCAGAUAUAAGUACAAGGUCUCACUGAACCUCAGUUUAGAGAUGAUAGGUGAAGAAGAUAAAAACUCUUUGAGUUUAUCGAAUGCUUUAUGACAUGAAGGGUUCACCUAAAAUCAGAUAUGUUUAUGAAAAUUUUAAAAAAUAAUAAACAUCAUUUUAUCAAUUUGGAUAUGAACCUGUUUAGGACAGCUAUUUUUCUAGUUAGCCUUUACAUGUCUUUUAUUGAUGUCAGUACUUUCACAUCCAAGAUUGCCUAAACCUUUUUUGAGUUUGCCUCUAUCCUCUUUUUAUUGAUCAUAUAGUCAAAGAAUUUGCCUGGCAUGACUCUAAAGGAGCACUUGCUUGGGGUAAGCCUCAUAUUGUAUUUUUUUAUGGUGUCAAAAGUCUUCCCAAGGUCUUUUAAGUGCUCAACGAAACUCUUACUUUUGAUUAUCAUGUCAUCCACAUAUACUUUCAUGUUGUGACCAAUUUGAUUUUUAAAGACCAUGUUGACCAACUUUUGAUAGGUUACCUCUGUAUUUUUCAAGCCAAAGGGUAUCACUUUAUAACAGUAAAGGCCUUUCUUAGUGAUGAAAGAUAUUUUCUCCUCACCUUUUUUUAACAUCUUAAUUUGUUUAUAGCUAGAGUAAACAUCUAUAAAGUUGAUAAAGCCAUACUUAGCAUUAUCAUCUACUAGCCAAUUUACGCUAGAAAAAGGAAAACUGUCUUUUGGGGCAUGCUUUAUUAAGGUCAGUAAAGUCAAUACACGUCAUUCAUUUUUCACUGUAUUUUUUAAUCAUGACUAUGUUGGCUAUCUAUUCAAGGUAGUAAACUUUCCUGAUAAGCUUGCUUGUUAUUUAUCAAUUUUUUUCUUGAUAGCCUUUUAUCUUUUCAAGGUAAAAGUCUUCUUCUUUUGUUGAACUAGUUUCAUGUCUAGGCUAGUGUGCAACCUAUGGACCAUCAUCUCGAUAUUAAUUUCGAGCUUGUUAAAUGGCGUCCAUGCAAAUAGGUUGGCAUUAUUUCUUAAGAGCUAAAUUAACUAUUUUUUAUGUUCGAGUUUAGUUUUGAUCUACAUGUGUUUUUCAAGAAUUUUCCCAAGAAUAUUUUCCCAAAACAUUAUAGGCAUAAGGUCUUUUGUUGACUCAUGUUGAUUUUCACCUGGGUUAGGUUUUUGGUCAAUUAUUUCUUUCUAUUCAAGUUAGAUCGAGAUCAUUUCCUGCGAAGACAGAUCCCAACAUGAUAAUUAGUAUAUAAAUUAUUAGAAUAUAUGGUUGAAUAUAAUGUAUUUCUCAUUUUAAUUUUUGUUUUGGUCGACUUAUUAGCUAAGUCCAAAUGACAUGUAAAUAUUUAUACCAGCUAAAAGCUCAGUCACUUUUAAAUUCAUUUCAAAAGUUAAAAAAAUGAAACAUAAGGUGUAUCUUCUAUUAGAGCUUAAGAGCUUAGAAUGGCUUAAAAGCACGCUUCUGUCAGGUUGAUCUUUUAUUGUAAGUUUUUACUCUUAUUUUUUUGCUUAUCCCUGGUUCUUAUUGCUUGUCUUUCUUCUUCAACAUUCUUCAUUUCAGCUAGGCUACCCAUCUGUUUCCUAAUCCUUCCCUUCAUUAUCGUGACGUAACACUAUCGUGCCAUGGACUGAUCUCCUCUCACCUUUUAAUCCUCUGAGGUGUUAGAAAUUUUACCUUUAAAUAGGAAGCUAAGCCUAUAAGCAGCAUAACAGAUUGGCUAGGUUGGCUCAAUCAUAUUAUAGGCAGAUAGGAUGUCUACUACCAUGAAUUCUAUGACCAAGGUGACUAUCCUUGGUUUCAUCCCUAAAGAGAUUGGUAGUUUGAUAGUCCCUUUAACUAGUACUUACUCGUUCAUAAAUCCUACCAAAGUUGUGGUAAUCGGUUGCAAUUGUUCUUCCUUAAUACCUAUUUCCUUCAUGGUAGCUUAAUACAUGACAUUGAUUGAACUCUUGUUACAAGUAGGAUCUUCUUAACCACAUAAUUAUAUACCAUAGCUAUGAUUACUAUAGCAUCGUUAUGGGAAUGUUGGAUUCCUUCCAACUCUGAGCUAAAUGAGAUAGAUUCUUCUUUCCAAGCUUUUUUUUUUUUAUUGAAAAGCUAAUGGCUAUGAUCAUACUUGGGUUGGACUUUCUUUUGGUCGAGGUUGAGUUCCCUCCAGUAAUCACAUUAAUCAUUCAAGUGAUUGGCUUAUUAUUGUCAGGUCAGCCUUGUUAUUGUCUUUGCUUAUCUCCUCAAACUUUUCCUUUUCUAUUUUCCUCUAGCUUGCCUUCCCUGUCCCUUGUGGGCUCUCUUCGAUCCCUUUUAUAAUUCAAUAUGUUCUACCAUUAUCUUCUUUGGUCCAUAAACCUCUUCAACUGACCUCUUUUAAUUAGAGUUUUAAUCUCAUUUUUAAGGUCGAUACAAUCUUCGAUGUUGUGGCCUAUGUCCCUAUGGAAGGCACAUCUUUUGGUCGAAUCCCUCAUCUAUUCUACCUUAGUGGCUUAGGCCAUCUAGACUUCAUAUUCCUCUCGAUUUGUAUUAAAUCUUUUUUAGGAGGUAUUCAAUGCAAUAUAAUUUCUUUAUCCACUAGGGCUUUAGGCUUUAUGUUGUCUCUUUCUUGGAAGAGGAUCGUAAAAAUCUUUGUCUUUCUUACGAAGAAGAGGGAUGAGCCUCUCUCACCUCGACUACUGAGGAAGGGGAUAAGCCUCUCUUAUCUCGAUUAUUUCUCAUUGUAGCUUCAGCAUUAAUAUUUUUCAGCUACAAGUAAGACGUCAGCCAAAGUCUUAGGUGGCUUUAAUGAUAAGACCAGCUUUAGAUGGUACUCUUUGUCAUUGAGUCCACUUGUUAAGGUGGCUAUAAUAGCCAUUUGUUCUAGGCUUUUACCUAUAGAGUUUCAUGUUAAAAUAUGUGAUAUAGUUUUUCAGGGAUUCAUUACGACCUUAGUCGAUCGACAUCAAGCGUAAUGUCAUCUUCUUCAUUCUUCGGUUGCUUACAAAUCAGGAUAAGAAAGAAUAGCUUAGCUUUUUAAAUGUUGUGAUUGACCUUGGUUUUAAACUAUUGUACCAAGACCAAGCUACACCCUUGAGGGUAGUUGCAAGGCCCUUACACAACAAAGCUUCAUCAACGCUCUGCAUCAUCAUGUUAGUUUUAUAAAAUUUUAGAUAAUUGAAAGAUCAGAAAUACCGUCAUAAGUUUCUAAGGUCGGCAUUUUGAACUCUUUCGGAGGUAUAGCUUUGUCGAUUUCUUUGGUGAAAGGCGAGGUCUUCAAAAAUUUGAGUUCAUCUUUGAAAGCCACUACCUUCACCUGUAGCUCUUUCUCCAUAGCUUGUAUUCGAACUUCUAAGUCUUUGUUUGGCUAGGGCUCUAGGUUAGUUUGUUUUGAUUUUUAGGUCGUGGCAUGUGUUAAGUUGUGAUUGAGGUGGUGGUGAGCAAGAGUGUCAUGCUCUUCUUCUCUAGAGGCCUAAGAGGCUUCCACUUCUUUUAUAGCUCGGUUGCCUUUCCACAACUUCUCGCCCAAGGGAAACUAGACCUUCAAAGCUUGGGGUGGGUUAUAGCCUGUAACAUCUGUUUAAGAACUUGUAUUUGCUCGAUCAAAACCUGAAGGUGCUCUAUGGUUGGGCCAGCUUGUUGUGGGGCAUGUUGUUCUGAGUGCUAACUGUUAUGUGUUUCUAUUCUGGCUGAAAUGACCAUCUCUCCUUCCUUCAAAGUUCUCUUCCUAGGUGGGAUUGUUUUGUGCUCGGCUAAUAAAUAGAAAGCUCCUCCCUGGCAUGCCAAAUAUUUAUGCCAAAUUCUAACGUGAGGGUAUUCCUGAAAAGAACAAAAAGGUGGAAGAGAGUGGUCAGAUGCAAAGGCAUGAAGUAUUCCCUAUAUUUAUACUCUGAUGCAUAAAUUAGAGAUCAAAAUGAACAAGGCUAAAAGGAGAGAAAGAUAAGGGGUUAAGAUAAAAUGGAACCUAGGAUGAUAAUGUCUGGAUGCCUAUAUUUAUAAAUGAGAGGUAGAGAGUCAAUGAGAAACAAUAAUAAUGUGAUCGAACUGAUAUAACACUAAAUAUGUCAGGUCGAAAUGCCUUUGAUUAUCUGUCAAGAGCCCUUAAUAAAGAAAAAUGCCAUUAUACCCUUUGAAUCACUAAAUGCCCUCAACCUUAAGAAAAAAUAUUGUCGCCGGUGGAUAUUUAUGACAUCCAAAUGAACCAUCUCCGUGCUACAGUUUCUAAUUUCUUUGACAUCUGUUGUCUAAUGACUAGCUAAAACAAGGAACAUCUUGCUUUCCUAAUGCAUACUGCUAUUUUGAUUUGGUCCUGGAAUCAUGCAAUUUAUACCUCUCAAGUUCAAAUCUCUUCUUUCGUGGUUUUCGAUCAAUUGUGAAUUUAGUUUAAUUUUAUAUUGAUUUGGUUUUAAUUUGUUAGUUGGUUUCUUAUUAAAUGUAAUAAUUGUUAUGUAUAUAUAUAUAUAUAUUAAAAUUUACUUAUAUUAAUAUAAAAUUUAUAUUUUUUAAACUUUUAAAUCAAAAUUAAAUCAAUAAUUAAUUUGAAUCAAAAUAAUAUUUAUAAAUUUAAUAAUUUUGAUCUAAAAAUUUUUAAAAAUAUAAAAAUUAUAUUAAUAUAAAUAGAUCCUUCUAUAUACACGCACGGAAGUUUUCAUGUCUUGACUGCAUAUUAUACGUAGCAAAUCAUCACAAAUUCUCAAUAUGGGAGAGAUUUCAAGGCGUUACAACUAUACGGCAUAGCAUUUCAUCUUUUGUUGAGAAAUUUUGAUGUAGUUGUGAUGUUUCAUUUCAUGUGCCACGAGGCAAGAGAUUUUGUCCGUGUCGAGACCUUAGUUGCGCUUGGACAUGGUCCUGAGCCUUGAUGUAGUUGUGGGCCAGCAUCAUCAGUUGCUUUUUUUUUUUUUUUUUUUUUGUAAAAGAAGAUUAAUGUCCUUAAAAAAAAGAGAACGACAGAAUAAAGCUCACAUCUUAUAUGAUUUUCAACUGAUUUUUUAACCAUUAAAUUAAGAGGAGAAAGUUUCAUCAUUUGCUUUCAGCACAUUAGAAUAAUCUCAUCUCUAGAUUUAACAACCACAUUGACUUUUAGUUGACUAAGUGAUAAUUUAGAUAUGGUAAGAUAAUAUUAUAUAAAAAUAAUAUAAAAUAUCAUAUAUAUAUUUUAAAAAUAUAUUUUGUAUUUAUUUAAUAUGAUAUGAUAUAAUUUGUGUAAGAUAUAUAUUAAUUUAUUUAAAUACUUAAUAUGAUACAAAUAAUAAAUUUAAUUUAAUAUUAUCAUACAAAUAUAUGUUUAAUAUAUUUUUAUAUUUAAUUUAAUUUAAUAUAAAUAUAUAAAUAUUAUUUUAAUUUUUAAUUUUUUAAUUAUGAUAUUUAAUUAAUUAUUUAAUAUCAUAUAAAAACUAUUUUAAAUAUGACACUCAUUUAAUAACUAUUGUAAAAUUAUUUUUUAUAUUAAUAAUAUAAUAUUAAUAUUAAUAUUAGUUUUAUACAUUAUUAUUUUAUUAUUUAAUUAUUUAAUAGUUUAUCAUUUUGAAUUUGAUAUUAAAUAUAAAUAUAAAUAUAAAUAUUAAAUACAUAUUAAAUGAGUAUUAAAAUUUUUAUUUUUUAAUAUGUAAAUACUUUUUUUAUAUUAUUAACAUGUCAAAUUUAUUAAAUUAUAAAUUAUAAAUAAUUUAUUAUUAUUUAUUAUUUUAAUCGUAUUCUUGUAUAUAUUCGUAUUAAUCGUAUUUAUUUGUAUAUAUCUAUAUUAAUAAUAUUUAUUUAUAUAUAUUCGUAUUAUUCGUACUUAUUCAUAUUUCAUUUAAAUAAAUUUUUUUUUCGUAUUAAUUAUGUCAUGUUGUAUAUAAUAUAUAUAUUAAAUAUAUCGUGUUCGUGUUUAAAAUUUAAAUACGUUUUAUAAUUCAUAUUAUAUUUAUAUUUUAAUAAUUUAUAUAAUUUUAUGUAUUUAAUAUAAUAUAAAAUAUGAUAUAAAAAUAUGAAUUACAGUAUCUACUAAGUACUUACUCUUCCAUUUCUGUGGAUCGAUUUAUCAUUUUUUCGCCUAUUCAGUGGAUAGAUUCAAGCAUAUCAAUUAGCCUACAAGUUUGUGUCUCAACUCUCAAUUGUUCUUGUAGCAGCUUAGAGCAAGGGUUGCCCUUUGUCUUAAUUGGGUCAGACUCGGAUUUGACCUAAUCAGGCAGGGUUCUAAAUAUUAUUAGGUCAUGAACUCAUGAUUCGCCUUAAGGUGUAAUUUAAAAAAAAAAUUAAUUUUACCCAACUCUUUUUCUUUGCUCUAGUAUUUCUCCCAAAGUUUAGCAGAAUAAAGCAAAUAUUCUUUAAGGAUUUUGAAGUUCGAUAUUUCAAAAGCAAAUCUUCUAUUUUCGCUACCAUGUUCGAAUAAACAAAACAAAGAAGUCCACCAUAAAUGAAAUCCAGUUUUUUUUUUUUUUCCUGCAAUUACAAUCAUUCUUUAAAUACCCCCCGUUAACACAUUUACCAACAAAAUGGUUUAUUCAGAUGAGUGGGAUAUUGACUUUUGGAAUCAAAACUUUUUUCUUUUUUUCUUUAUCUGCUUCUUUCUUUCAAAAUUUAUUCGAGGUUUUAGGCAAAAUGACAAAUGAAGGCAAUUAUGUCGUAGGUUUUUAUAUACACAUGAUAAUUAAAUUAUUAUUUUAAUAAAUAUUAAAUAGUUUUAUGUGAUAAUAAUUUUAGAUCAUCGAAAAUGAUCAAAUCAUUAAUUUAAAAGAUAAUUUAAUUAUCAUUUAAAAAAGUAAAAAAUUUUAUUAUCCAAAUGAAAUGAUAUAUAAAAUUAAUAAUAAUAAUUAAUAUUACUCAUUUAAUAUAUAUAAAUAUAUACAAAUAGAUCUUAUCCGUCUACUGAUUUAUUCAAUAAUUGAAUCGAACGGCCCUUUAAACUCAGUGGUAAAGUAACGUCAUGGUAAGGCGUAAGUCAUCGGUUCAAAUCUGAUAAGGGGCUUUUGAUUUUUUUUUUUUUUCAUAAAACUCCAGUGAAAUAGUAGUAUUCAUAUUUAAACGAAGAAUAGGGGUGUUGUUUUUUUUGGUAAUAAAAAACCAACUGUAUAUGUAUAAUAAUUUAAUUAGAAACUGUAUAAUUUAACUCUAAUAAGUUAUUAUCUAAUAAGUUAUUAUUCUAAUGAGUUAGAGUAGAGUAAUUCUAAAAGAAAGUUGAACAUUUGUUUAUUAUAAUGAAUAAUGAUAAGUCGUCUCUUGAAUUGACAAAUAUAUAUAUAUAUAUUUAUUUUUAUUUUGCAUUAUAUUAUUCCAAUCAAAUCCAUUGUAAAGAAUUGUAAAGAUUAAAAAUCAACAAAAGAAAAAGUAAAUGGAUCUAACCCAUUGAAUCGUGACUAUAUCUACUAUUCUAAUAUUAAAAUUCAAUAGAGAUGAAAUUGGAACAGUAGAUUUCUUUUUUUUUUUCAUAUUUAUUUGGACUCCACAAGAAUCUGUCGAUAUUUCCGAUUCAAUCUUCUUGUUACUAGGAAUAAAUUAAUAUUCUAUUCCUUUAUAGAGAAAGAGAAACGUUUAUUUCAAGUUACAACCUAAGAGCCUUUUUCAAUAUCUUAUCUUUCUUUGAUUCCAGAACACAACAAGACCCAUUUCUAUCUAUAUAGAAUAUAUAGAAUUUUUUAGAUAUAAAUCUAAAUCAAAUCAUGUCUUCACAUAUCAAAUAUUUCCAUAUCGAUACAUAUGACACUUUUGUUCUGACAAUGUGAUGGAGAGUGAGUGCGAAAAAGAAACUUA
rnacentral:lncRNA from 1 species